rnacentral:lncRNA from 7 species
AACAAUGUGGAUCGUCUGCUGGUGAGCGGAGGGAGGUUUUGUCUUGCUGGUGGAGUGUCUAAUGGCUGCUGUGCAUUAGUCAGCAAGUGGUAACAGUGCCUGAGGAGAUACAUUAAGGGAAACAGAAGGCUCCUCUUCCUCAUCUCUAACGUGUUUGGCUGCAGACACCACAAGCUGAAAUUCUGAGUGACAAGCAUCAUUUCUAAGACCACAAUUUCACUUGGAAAAGUGGAGCAGAGUUGGAGGAGGAGAUGGAGGAAGAGAGAUUAAACAACUCAGAAAACAGAUGGAGAAAUGGAAUAGAAUCACUACUGAUUACUUUACCAAGAGAAGCUGAAGACUUCAAGGCCAUCUGUGAAUGGACUGUCCAGCCUUAUGUGCCCGAAGAAUCAUAAGUACGUUUUGAGUGUUCUACAAAAGCACAUUCCUCAGGUAUUGCAGACCAUCAAGAUGCACUGGGGAACUGGUAUUUCUGUCUACUUCAUUAUGAGAAUAGAAGCCAGGAUACAUCACCUUUGCCUUCCCUCUUUCCAUUUGUAGAGAUUUAUGCAGCUCAUCAUUUGUUAACGGAAUGGAACUGUAUGGCAAAUGGAACGGAACAUGCUAGCUCUACAGGAAACAAAAGACUUUUCAUGUGAGAACUGCAGCAAGGAAUUUGUCAGAGACUGGGAGAGGAAGGCAAAAGAAGCUAAUAUUGAAAUGCAAAUUAUUAUAAGUGAAAGGAUUUUCUCCAUCUUCACUUAGUUUCUGCAGUUUAUAUCCUUAAAAUAAAAAGGAGUAGCUGAAAAUAUGUUACAAUAAAACCCAGUAACUUUGUCUCUUU